rnacentral:rRNA from 1 species
GUCUACGGCCAUACCACCCUGAACGCGCCCCAUCUCGUCUGAUCUCGGAAACUAAGCAGGGUCGGGCCUGGUUAGUACUUGGAUGGGAGAAGGUGGCUUCCCCGGGACGUUCACGGGACACCGGCCU